GCAUAAACGCACAAACGACAAUCUCACCUCGGAAGUGACUCUGUUGGGAGAACAGAUCAAGGUGCUGUGCCUGAACUUGAGUCAAACAUACAGCCAAUGGACCUUGUGCAAGGCUUUACAUAAUAAUGCUGAAAACCAGAGGAGAGAAGCAGAGAAAGCGAGAAAUACCUGCAUGGCAAACAACAAAUAUCUACAACAACUUUUUUCUAACUGCAGUCAAGAGUGCAUCACUGAAGGCCACUAUGCCCUGAAACACACUGAUGGUAGAGGUUCCUGCCAUCAGUCAGGUUCUGAGGUCCAGUUCUCCUG